CCUACGGGAGGCAGCAGUGGGGAAUAUUGGUCAAUGGACGCAAGUCUGAACCAGCCAUGCCGCGUGCAGGAAGACGGCUCUAUGAGUUGUAAACUGCUUUUGUACGAGGGUAAACGCAGAUACGCGUAUCUGUCUGAAAGUAUCGUACGAGUAAGGAUCGGCUAACUCCGUGCCAGCAGCCGCGGUAAUACGGAGGAUUCAAGCGUUAUCCGGAUUUACUGGGUUUAAAGGGUGCGUAGGCGGUCGGAUAAGUUAGAGGUGAAAUCCCGAGGCUCAACUUCGGAAUUGCCUCUGAUACUGUCCGGCUAGAGAGUAGUUGAGGUAGGCGGAAUGUAUGGUGUAGCGGUGAAAUGCUUAGAGAUCAUACAGAACACCGAUUGCGAAGGCAGCUUACCAAGCUACGUCUGACGUUGAGGUACGAAAGCAUGGGGAGCAAACAGGAUUAGAUACCCUAGUAGUC
rnacentral:rRNA from 1 species